CAAUAUUUUUUAAUAAUUCGUUAAUAUAUAUUAGGGACGGACCAUUAGAAAAGUGAUGGGGAGGGUGGGGAAAAAACAGAAAAAAAAUCCAUGCAAACAAAAAAGGUUUGAAAAAAAAUACAUGCAAACAGACUUGUUUAAAAAAAAAAUUACAAACAGAACAACAAUAGAACUUUAAUUUUAAAUGUACAUCCGACAAAAUUGAACUAAAUCUUUCG